rnacentral:lncRNA from 1 species
CCAAAGUUGAAUUGAUUAUCUAAUCACGCCUAAACCUAUUAAUCUUAUCUAUCUUAUCCACCAAAUCAAAGAUGCUAAUAUCACAAUACAUCAUCCUUGUGUUAUCUCUGUUGAUUGAAACAAACAAAUGCAAGAAGGUUGCAAAUGAAAUAACACAACCACGUGCACGUAACAGAAUUGGUGCUUGAGUUAUGGCUGCUGCAAUUUUCUGGUACUCCUGGAUGCAUACCUACAGCUCGGACACCAACAGCAUCGCCACCGCCACCGCCACGGCCACCACGGGAACCUCCACCGCCACCACCGGCUACCAGAAUUAUGAGGCGCAACAUGAUCAAAGUAAGGAAGAGCACACCAGGAUAGUGUAACCAGAUCAUCAUCUAUCAAUGAAUCCUUUUACCAUCA